rnacentral:tRNA from 1 species
GGGGGUAUCGCCAAGCGGUAAGGCACCGGUUUUUUGAUACCGGCAUUCCCCUGGUUCAAAUCCAGGUACCCCCA